CAGCCGCCGCGGGAAUACGAAGGGUGCAAGCGUUACUCGGAAUUACUGGGCGUAAAGCGUGCGUAGGUGGUUGUUUAAGUCUGCUGUGAAAGCCCUGGGCUCAACCUGGGAAUUGCAGUGGAUACUGGGCAACUAGAGUAAGGUAGAGGAUAGUGGAAUUUCCGGUGUAGCAGUGAAAUGCGUAGAGAUCGGAAGGAACAUCUGUGGCGAAGGCGACUAUCUGGGCCAUUACUGACACUGAGGCACGAAAGCGUGGGGAGCAAACAGGAUUAGAUACCCGUGUAGUCCCUGUCUCUUAUAC
rnacentral:rRNA from 1 species